rfam:Triticum aestivum genome assembly, contig: Triticum_aestivum_CS42_TGACv1_scaffold_433372_5DL
UAAAUACUCCCUCUAUCUGGAAAUACUUGCCGGAGAAAUGGAUGUAUCUAUAAUUAAAAUACGUCUAGAUACAUCCAUCUCUCCGACAAGUAUUUCUGGACGAGGGAGUACGAG